UCACCUGUUUCUGUCAGUCAAACAGGAAAGCUCCAGAGAUAGACAGAUGUGUCUUCUUCUUUUAAGUCUCAUUUAUCUUUUCAUCACAUGAUCCUUCUGCUCAUUUCAGUCCAUAUUUAACAACAGGGUUUAUUUAAACACACUGUUUAGGUUCAGAUUUAAGACACUGAACUCUCAUGGUUGUGGUCUCAGUGACAUCACCUGUUGGUUUCUGUUGAGGCUUAUGGAGCUCAGACAUGGAGGUCGCCAUAUUGGAAAUUCGGACUUUAACCAACUUUCGGCUAAUCCAGAAACAAAAGAGCUGAGAUGGGCCCAUCUAACACACCAACCUGUUCUCAAGUCAACCACGCCCAUGACUUCACCAAUUCAUGAGUUCUAUAGGGACUAUAGGGACUCAAUGUUGAGAGUAGCUGGUGAAGGCUGUGGACUCGACACCCUGCAGUUCUCUGUACUGGACCGGUUUUCCACCCAGGUAGUCAUCCAGCUGAACGGUAAAGAUGGCCGCCGCAGUGCUCUCAUCCUGGCUGCAUUCCUUUCCUUUAAAGAACAAGAACAGGCAGAAGAUACAGUUUGAUAUUGUGUAGUUAAAUAAUAAAGUUAUUUAAACUCUCA